GGGCCAUAACUUCAGUGGUAAAGCAUCUGUUUUGGAUGCUUGAGUCCCAGGUUCAAUCCCUGGCAUCUCUA